GUCAGUAUUUUGAGUUUGCAGUGACUUUUUAUUUAACAUAGUUUGCGUGCCUUAUUCUAAUUUGCAUGAACUUCCAUGGUUUGCUGUGUCGGUACCUCCUUAUGAACUUUCUAAUUGAUUUAUUGUAACCUCCCACCGGAGUUGGCUCAGGCCUGUCACACCUGGGCCUGAUCAACUAACUUCCGGUUCUGGAGCUGCUGCUGGAGGAGGUGCCAGUGGGCAAGAUGGCAGCUGGUGAGAUGACACAAGGCAGAAAGAAGGGUGCAAGGUUCAAAGGUUAAUCUGUGAAAUACAAGCUGAGUACUUUCUCCUUUGAGUCAAGUACAGGAGAGAUAAUUACAUGUUCCGCUCCUGAAAAUGUUGAGAAGUUGACAUUUCAGAAAUUCUCACUCUCAGAAAUUUAACCUGACAGAAAUGAAGAGGAAAAACCGCCAACAGGUGAGGUGAAAGCUUCCGAGCCUCACCCCAAUUAUCAGGAAGAUGCCCGAGAUGACUCUGGCCCAGUGGGAGUAUGGUUUGUGGAGAAAGUGGAUCCAUGUCUUUUGGUGAUCCAUUUGUGGUAUCGGGCUGGGUGAAGAAGGAUUUUGGUUCUUUCAAUUUGGGCAAAGUAUCCAGAAGUGGACUUGUGUUUAUGACAUUUUUUUGUGUGUCUGCUGCCCAGAGGGAGAAGGCGCUACGUGACUCUGGAUGAGAGCUGUGUUCUGCUCUCCAGAGCAGAGCGCCGCUGAAAGGAGUGAUAACUGGGGUGGCGCUGAGGUGGAUUGACUGAAGUUGAGGAUUCUGUGUCUGAUGCAUGCCGUUUGUUUCUAUGCAGACCAGGACAUGGGCUGGGUUCCAUAGACGCUUGAUGACAACAGACGACAGGGAGCGACUGCCAAACUACCAACAGUGAAACUAACCAACAGCAGACGAGCAACCGACGGGAGUUGGCUGUGGCCAUCCUGGACACUCGUCCAGUAGCACAGACCUUUGAUUUUGGUUUGUGAUUGUGUACUUCUGAGAUUUGAAGUAAAGAACUCUAAACAUUUAAA